rnacentral:rRNA from 1 species
GACAGAGGGGGCAAGCGUUGCUCGGAAUUACUGGGCGUAAAGGGCGCGUAGGCGGCCUUCUAAGUCGAACGUGAAAUCCCCGGGCUCAACCCGGGAACUGCGUCCGAUACUGGAAGGCUUGAAUCCGGGAGAGGGAUGUGGAAUUCCAGGUGUAGCGGUGAAAUGCGUAGAUAUCAAGCGGAACACCGGUGGCGCAGGCGGCUUUCUGGACGAUUACUGACGCUGAGACGCGAAAGCGUGGGUAGCAAACAGG